rnacentral:rRNA from 1 species
AUGUUGCAGGUGAUCCCUUCCCACGUGAUGCAAUCUGUGCCGUUCUGCCAUGACGCGGCAAGGCCACCAUCCUGUGAGAGCCCAGUGAGGAACUUGAGGAGGGAGGCCUUCUCUUGCUCUGUGCAGGAGCUAGUGAUAGAGGCCAAGGACAUGAGCAUCAGAAGAACAAUGCCAAGGGAACUUAUCGGUAGUUUUCUGUCGUAUCUCAUGCGUGAAAGCUGGAGUGGCUGCAUGGUUUUCAUUUCUUAUGAGACUGGCAUAUGGGCACCAGAUGCUUAUUCUUUAGCUGGUUGCUUCUACAGUAUUAUAGAGCGUGCUCCUCCUUGUUCUGUACUUGUUACUUGUAGCAAGUAG